rnacentral:lncRNA from 1 species
AAACUGUCAACAAGGCCUUGUCUUAAUAACCAAACUUGAGGCCUUUUAUCUGGGAAGAUUUAUGAAGUAAUUUUAAAGAGAUCCAAGCAAACAUCUGUCAAUAAAUUGAAUGCCGGCUACAGGAUUUACAAGCAAGACAAGAAUUUCUCAUUAAGUGCACAUUAACACGGUGGGGAUCAUAAAUAGAAGGAGGCCAGGAUGCGGAGCCUCUCAAGCUGUCAUUAAAACACUAUCUAAGAACUAAUGAGGAAGUGAUGGAAGGAUACUAAUGAAGAGAAUCACUGAAGAAGAAAAUGAAGAUGACAAGGC